UAACAGGGAAACCAUAAGUUAGUCAUUUGUAUUUGCAAUCAUCAUAGAUUUUUACAUUAAAGAUAAGAAAAUAAAGUCCUGUUUUUGUAGGAGCUCGAACUCGAAAGCGUCCAAAACCGGUCCAAAGAAACCCGUACAAAGCUGCAGCUCUAAUAUUGGGCUUACUGUGCCUCCUGUUGUUGGCAGGGAUUGGAGUCCAGCUCUAUCUAUUUAUUAGGUUAGAACCAGAUCCACCAACAUGUGAAGUAAAUAACCAGAAUAGCACAGACUGGCAGGAGAUUCGUACGUCACGUCUUUUCUAUACAUCCACUGAGAAGAAAAACUGGACAGAAAGCAGGAAAGACUGUCAGAGGAGAGGAGGAGAUCUGGUGAUAAUAAAGAGCAAAGAAAAACAGG